CCCAUGUUCUGUGGAGGGACUGUUAUUGACGGGACGCCAGUGGGGAAUUAGGCUGGAAGCAACUCGCCACAUAGACAAAGCCAUCCACAGGGUUUAUAAAAGGUCCACUUGUUCCACUUAGCCUGCAUUCAGUUUUGCUCACUGCUAAUGAAACACACCAGCUGCCAUUGCAUCAGAUGAGAAGAGUUGGAGUGCAGUGGAGCGCCGGCUGGGCCUUCUGCCAGCACAUGUCCUAUCCUGGAGACUGCACCUGGGGAAGUCUGUAUGAUAAAGAUGUACCAAGCCACUGCUCCUCAGAUAUAGCUCCAAGUGAUCAUAAAUAAGUGGUUUAGUGGACAGGGCACUGGACUGGGACCCAGGAGACAUGGAGGGGAUGUAUCCUUGGCUCUGCUGGAGACCCUGGUUUUGAUGUGGAGGAUAAUUUGAAAACGCAUUGAGAAGUAUAUCCACAUAGUAACGUCACCUGAGCAAGGAGGGAGAAG